GAGAAGGUCAUUUCCCUCUGUGAGCUCAGUUUUCUCCUCUAUAAUUUAGAGGGCGAGUGCAACAAAAGAUCUCUAACACUGCUUUCCAGCUUUAUCCUUCUUUGUUCUAAAACUGUUUUGUAGUGUGAAUAAUCACCUCAUCAUUUAUUCAUCAUCUUUUUAAUCUGGGGUUGUCAUUCUGGGCCGCCUUAAUCAAGAGGGGUUCACCUGAAUGGGUACUAACAGGUAGUCUGAAUUCGUCAUUUCUUUCCAUUCUUCUUUUGGGAUGAAGUGAAAUGAGUCAUAAGUGAGGAGGUUAUCAAAGCACACACAGAUCAACAGGAAGACAGAGACAGGAAGAGAGGUUGCGAGACGUCAGCAUUUUCCCCAGGCAGCUUGAAAGCAAAAGCAGAGCCCUGGUUGUUUGCUCACAGCUUUUGUACACUGACCUGUCAGCAUUGGACUCCUGGCCAUGGGGGCAGAGCCACGAGCCUUUCCUGGAACCUGGCAGGCCUCACAUGCAAGUGGCUGUCCUGCAGGUGUCUAUGCAGGAGAGAAAGUCUGUGAACUGUGUGAAUUCCAGGAAGUGAGUCUAGGGUCAGUCCUGGGGCAUGGCUUGCCCCUGCCUUUACCCUGAUUGACUAUUUCUUGAAAUUCUCCCUAUACCGAAAAGUGCCUUGAAAGAAUUUUUUCCUUAGUAUUUCUGCUGUGGGAAAUUAAGAGCCUCUUCUUGGUGAUAGUAAAAUUAAGUGAUUUUGUACCAUUGGUGGCUUUUGGUGGUAUAAACCUAUUCUUCUGGAAGGAGCCUAUGGGCUAAGAAUACUUAUUAGCAUAUUUUGAAGGAAAUUGCCAGCAAAAUAUGAUCUGCCUCUAAAUCAUAAAAAUUCCUCAAUUUGUAGAUGUAUAACCACACCACUGACAGAAAAGAAUAACUUGGUUUACCUUAGCAGCCAUUUUAUGAGUACCCAUUCUUUGUCCAGCAGUGUGCUAACGGUGAAGAGAUCAGACCCUCCUUACUGUAUUUUAAUAUUCCCGCAUGUCCUCCUCUUGUGGACUGAAUGCUUAUGUCCUCCCAUAAUUCAUAUUUGGAAACUCUACCCCUCCCCCACCAGUGUGAUGUAUUAGGAGGUGGGGCCUUCGGGAGGUAAUUAGGGUUAGACGAGGUCAUGUGGAUGGAGCACUCACGAAUGGGAUUAGUGUCUUUAUGAGUCACGAGAAAGCUUGCUUCCUCUCUCUGCUCACCACCAUGGAAGGAUACGUGCGAAAGUUGACAGCUGCAACCCAGAAGAGGACCCUCACUAGGACCUGGCCAUGCUAGCACCCCGAUCUCUGACUUCCAGCCUUCAGAACUGUGAGAAACAAAUCCCUGUUGUUUAUAAGCAUCCCAGUCUAUGUACUUUGUGAUAGCAGCCUGAACUAAGAAACCCUCUUAGUGUCAGUAUUUUCCAGAACCACAUGCUGGUCUAUUUUUCCUACCUAGGAUUUUGUGAUGUGUAACAGCACUCAAUAAAUUCCAGUUUAUCUUUGGUUGUUUAUAAAGCAGCAAACUUGCCAAAAUUGUCUAUUAUGCAUUUUGACUCUAUGCCAGUCAGUAAUUUUCUAGGAAUGGUUGUUUUCUAAUAUAGUCUUCAAUUCAUAGUAUGCUGCUGGAUUAUUUGACAUUACUGACUCAUCCAUCCUAUAGUCUCAGUACAAUUAUUAUGACAGCUGACAUCAUUUACCAUAGGGAAGGGAGUGGAACUUACUCUUCCAGUGGUGACUUGACUCUGUUUAUAGAUAAUAUCAGAAGGUUGUUUUUGGUAAUCAUUUUCAAAAACAAUAACCCUCUUGUAAAUUGUUUUAACAGACUCUCAUGCCAUCAGAAAAUAUACUUUGGCUAUAUUUUAUCCUUAGAAUUUUGGCUGAACUGAUGCAGGUAAAUAUCACAAAGGUAUAGGCUAACCUGGGGUAGGAUAUACUCCUGAAAACGUGGUAGAAUGUCAAAGUUCUCUAGACACCUCAUUAUUUGACAAAAGUUGUUGGUAAGGGACCCAGGGACGCUACAAGCACCAUAUCUGUUAUGAAAAUGGUAACUGAACCCCAAACUCUAUAAGAAAAUGAUUAAAAUCCAAAUCUGAAUAUGGAGUUUUAAAGGGAAGGGUGUAGAAAAGGUGAUAAGAAGUUGUUGAAACAACUUGCUCAACAAUUUUUAUGUGGACUGUGGUGGUAGUGACUAUCAGAACAAGACUGGAAAUGAUUUCAGCACCCCCUUUGGCAUGCUGUGUAAAUGCAAGAGAGGGCAGCUUUAAAUUGAAUGUGUUUAGUGUAAAUUGAACAUUUUAGUCUGCGGGCCCAUUUCUACCCCUGCCUUACAGUCUUGCUCUCGAUGCUUCUUGGUUGUGGGACAUGAAGGAGUGGCUGGGAUUAGCUGUGCUCCCAGCUCACUCUCCUCCUGCUUUCUUGGUAGCUGCACCUUGAGUUGACCUUAAUGGUCUCUCCCAAGGUUGGCUGGAGCUGUCGUUGUGCUCUUGGAUCCACUCUUCCUUCAGAUCCUAAGAAAACACAACUCAAAAGAGGAUUGCGAGCUUUUGCCACCUUUGAUCUCUGAGCAGGAAAGGUGACUGUAAUAUGAUUAAUGAGCUCAGCUGGACUUUGCCCAGUGGCCAGGGCAUGGUGUGGCCUCCCAGAACAUUUAGAGGAGGAAUGGGAAGAGACUCAGCAUGCUCUGAUGGCAGUUGGCCUCUUGGAAAUGUGUAGGCUUGGAGGAGGUGUCCCAUCCCAGCAGGAUCUCCUGUCAUGGACUGAGAGAGAGACAUGCUGAAUGGGAUGGCCACCCACUCACUCAAAAAGAAUAAUUCCACCCUUCUGCUAGCUGUCUGUUCCCUCUGAUUUAAGCAUGUUCCUGUUAAAUGUGGCAGAAUCUGAAUUAGUGGGGGAAAUGGGCUUGAGUGGCAUAUAGAGAGGGGCUUAGCUAGGAGGGAGAACCAGGCAAAAGGGAGAUGACGUAGACCAUGAACAGAUGCGGUGCUCCAGCUCAGAAAGACUAUCAUCGCUACCUAAACCUUACUGAGUUUAGGCUGUGCCUAUUACCUUCUUGGUAAACUGUGUAAUGUUUAUUGUCCCUUAUGGAUUCAGUUCUUCUCAAUAAGUUUUUCUUUCUUUUGAGAAAUGUCCCCUCCUGGUGAAGGGAGGUCUCUGAACUGCUUGGGCAUAGGAUUGGUUGUACCUGCUGUAGCUAUAUAGCGGUGCCUUCUCUGGGUGGAGGGCUUGAGCGGGGGGUGGAUCUGACCUGCUCAGCUUACUGAGCUGAGCCCUGGCCCAGGGCUGGGUCAGCUGAAGGAAGGAACAUCUUUGUGUAAUUGGUCUGCAUUUUUCUAGUUUGCACAAAGUCCUCUUAAAGUGCCAGUAGCAUGUGACCACCAUCCCAGGCGGGUCAAGGAGCCGUGUGCAGUGGCUUCCUGGUCAACAUGGAUAGCUCAUGGGUACAUCUGAACAGAGUCUAUUCCUCUUUAGGUUGCUGCCUACCACUCUGGUAUCUGAUCAGUGGCAAAACCUUGACCUUCAAGAGUUCCGUGAAUGUGCUUGUCUAACUGCUCUUGAGGAAGGCCCAGGUUCCCUCCAGCGUGGGCUCUGACAAUAAACCUUCGACUCUGAGAGGACUCUGAAGACUUGAAUUUUCCAUCCUACUCCACCUCCAAUAGUUGUUUGAUCUAGGGGUCCUCAGCUCGCACCAGAUCUGAAGGUGCGGAGGGAAGGAACGGAAGAGAGAAGCUGAGAAUUCUCUCCCUGUCCAGCAUCGCCAGUGCCACCAGCCCUGUGUCCAGUUUCCUUAUCCUGUGGUUGACAAUGCAACAGCAGACCGGCCAAUACCAGCCCCCUCUCCUCAAUCGCUUCCCAGGAUUGUUUAUAGGAGACCAACAUUUCAGAGAGCAAGCGCUACUUCAACAUAUCCGUAGGCAGCACACUGUCAUCCAUACCACAGAUCUUAUUUUAAACUAAUUACAUUAAGG
rnacentral:lncRNA from 1 species